GGCGGCAAGGGCUGACGGAGGAGUGCCUGGGGGAGGGGAGGAUGGUGCCUGAGUGGUGAUGGGAGAUGGGGGGAUGAUGAAAGAGGCAGGAAUGGGGAGACAGGAGCUGGUGGUUCUCCUGGGGGUCUCUCUCACAGCCUGGGAGUGAAGGGGUUUUCCAUGUGCAAACCAACCAUCUUGUUCAGGGGUUAGUGGUGUUGAUGGAAGUAGCGUGAGGGGACAGUAGCUAGCAGGAAUGGGAUGAAUGAAGAGAUGAGAACUUUAGGGUAAAACUCAUGGAGAGUUCCCUGGGAAUGAAAUGUGAUGGACUGUGGAAUGAUUCCUUGAGGAACUGUGGAAGCCCUAUCGUUUGGGACUGGACCAAACCUUUGAAAAGAGACCUUUAAGGAGAAAUCUUGCAGAAGAAUGUAAAAAUGGCCAUACUGGGUCAGAUCAAUGGUCCAUCUAAUCCAGUAUCCUGUCUUCAAACAGUGGCCAGUACCAGAUGCUUCAGAGGAAAAGAACAGAACAGGACAGUUAUCGAGUGAAAUUAUCAGUAGAACAGAUGGACUAGAAUCUAACCGGUCUUUGCCAGCACUAACGUCUGAGAUUCUCUUGAUCUGUCCCAUUCUUUUUCAGCAUGAAAGAGGCCACAGUGUGAGCCCCCUCUGAUGAGACUUCCAUUUCUGGUCACCCACUUAUGCAUUGUUAUUUGCAGCAUCUAGUGAGAAAGGCCAUCUCAGUCAGCACACUAGGUAAUGUGACAGCCAAAAACUGCCUACGUAAUCCUUUAGCUUCUGCAAACCCUCUCUUCCAAGGCUCUCAAAGCACUUUAUAAACAUAUACAAAGCAUCCCCACAUUUCUGUGAGGUAUAUAAUAUAGGAAUGCUUCCAACUACAUCUGGGGCCAAAUGUAGCACCUGUUUAACAGCAUGGAAAAUGUCACAUAAUCGUUUAGGGCAGGACAUAAGGAGCCCUAUAUGCAGUUGAAACAGCAGGGGAAUUUAGGUCAGCAUAAUGGGCCAGAACACCUGAAAAUGGCCAGUGUUUAGUGGCCAGCUUCUAAAUGUUAUGAUUCAUCUAAACCUAGCCUUUGCAGCAACACGGCGCCCAUUAAGGGGCAUUGAUUCAGAGGAGAAAGCACUCUACCGAAUCAGCAGCAAAGAGUCCUGUGGCACCUUAUAGACUAACAGACGUAUUGGACCAUGAGCUUUCGUGGGUGAAUACCCACUGCGUCGGAUGCUCAUUCAUCCAACCACUGCCCCCAGCCUGACACUGCUUGUGUGUGAGAACUGAUAGGGUCAGAGGAAAUAGUGGUACCUCCAAAGGCGUCAUCUCAAGUUUCAGAGUGGAAAUGUGAUGUGAUCAGUCAAGUAAAUUGCCUAAGGGAGUGAUAUGAACAGGAAGAAGAGAGAGGCAACGGGAGAUGGCGGGGGGAAAAAUCAGCUUAGAGGAGAAAACAGCAGAAACAUGCAACUAGGAGUCCUGGCUCGGCAUCCUAUUGGCUGUGGCGCUGUACCUGCACCGAACAGAGAGACCGUCAUUGCAUCAUCGGCUCUGCACGGACAGCGGAGCUACUUCUGUGCGCUGCUCUUGUUCCACUGGAUGGAGACGCCUCCUUCGCUUUCUUUCGUUUUAUUUACGUGGGUUGGAUGAAAUGCACUGAUUGCCCCACGAGCAUGCGUGGAUGAGACCGAGACAGGACGCAAACCAACUCCCUCCUUCCCCUCCAAAAAAAUCCUACACAUCGUGCACUCAGAGCUCAGCUGCAUUUCCUGACCGCUUGGCAGCGAAAUCAACCACCUUAAUUUUUGCGUGUUAAAAAAACAAUAAAAAUCAAAUCACACCCCUCACCACGAUAGUUCUACCAGUACAACAACUGUGUGCAGAGCAGCCCUUGGACACAGACUUUGGGUUUAUCUCCACGGAGCAGCAACGCAGGCCAGAGAAUCUCACCCACCCACUCCUGUAACAAACCCCUGACCUAUGGCUGAGCUAUUGAAGUCCUCAACUUGUGCUUUAAAGACUUCAAGGUGCAGAGAAUCCU